UACGUAGGGGGCUAGCGUUGUCCGGAAUCAUUGGGCGUAAAGCGCGUGUAGGCGGUUCGGUAAGUCCGCUGUGAAAGUCGGGGGGCUCAACCCUCGGAUGCCGGUGGAUACUGUCGGACUAGAGUACGGAAGAGGCGAGUGGAAUUCCUGGUGUAGCGGUGAAAUGCGCAGAUAUCAGGAGGAACACCGAUUGCGAAGGCAGCUCGCUGGGACGUUACUGACGCUGAGACGCGAAAGCGUGGGGAGCAAACAGG
rnacentral:rRNA from 1 species